UACGAAGGGGGCUAGCGUUGCUCGGAAUUACUGGGCGUAAAGGGCGCGUAGGCGGACAGUUAAGUCGGGGGUGAAGGCCCGGGGCUCAACCCCGGAAUUGCCUUCGAUACUGGCUGUCUUGAGUUCGGGAGAGGUGUGUGGAAUGCCGAGUGUAGAGGUGAAAUUCGUAGAUAUUCGCAAGAACACCAGUGGCGAAGGCGGCUCACUGGCCCGAUACUGACGCUGAGGCACGAAAGCGUGGGGAGCAAACAGG
rnacentral:rRNA from 1 species